CUGACUGCUAUCGGAUUGAUACUAAGCCAUGCGAGUCAUUGUAGUAAUACAAGGCAGACGGCUCAGUAACGCGUAGUCAACCUAACCUAUGGACGGGAAUAACCUCGGGAAACUGAGUAUAAUGCCCGAUAGAACAUUAUGCCUGGAAUGGUUUAUGUUCCAAAUGAUUUAUCGCCGUAGGAUGGGACUGCGGCCUAUCAGUUUGUUGGUGAGGUAAUGGCCCACCAAGACUAUUACAGGUACGGGCUCUGAGAGGAGUAGCCCGGAGAUGGGUACUGAGACACGGACCCAGGCCCUAUGGGGCGCAGCAGGCGAGAAAACUUUGCAAUGUGCGAAAGCACGACAAGGUUAAUCCGAGUGGUUUCUGCUAAAGGAACCUUUUGUCGGUCCUAGAAACACCGAUGAAUAAGGGGUGGGCAAGUUCUGGUGUCAGCCGCCGCGGUAAAACCAGCACCUCAAGUGGUCAGGAUGAUUAUUGGGCCUAAAGCAUCCGUAGCCGGCUCUGUUAGUUUUCGGUUAAAUCUGUACGCUCAACGUACAGGCUGCCGGGAAUACUGCAGAGCUAGGGAGUGGGAGAGGUAGACGGUACUCGGUAGGAAGGGGUAAAAUCCUUUGAUCUAUUGAUGACCACCUGUGGCGAAGGCGGUCUACCAGAACACGUCCGACGGUGAGGGAUGAAAGCUGGGGGAGCAAACCGGAUUAGAUACCCGGGUAGUCCCAGCUGUAAACUAUGCAAACUCAGUGAUGCAUUGGCUUGUGGCCAAUGCA
rnacentral:rRNA from 1 species